rnacentral:rRNA from 1 species
GCCGUAACUGACGCUGAGGAGCGAAAGGGUGGGGAGCAAACAGGCUUAGAUACCCUGGUAGUCCACCCCGUAAACGUUGGGAACUAGUUGUGGGGUCCAUUCCACGGAUUCCGUGACGCAGCUAACGCAUUAAGUUCCCCGCCUGGGGAGUACGGCCGCAAGGCUAAAACUCAAAGGAAUUGACGGGGACCCGCACAAGCGGCGGAGCAUGCGGAUUAAUUCGAUGCAACGCGAAGAACCUUACCAAGGCUUGACAUAUAGAGGAAACGUCUGGAAACAGUCGCCCCGCAAGGUCUCUAUACAGGUGGUGCAUGGUUGUCGUCAGCUCGUGUCGUGAGAUGUUGGGUUAAGUCCCGCAACGAGCGCAACCCUCGUUCUAUGUU